rnacentral:sRNA from 1 species
GCUCCAUGAUGCGUUAUCUGGGUCUGGAAACCCAAACCCUCAAGGAUGGCCUGGUGCAUGGGGGAACCAGCCUGCUGGGGCAGGGGGCUACCCAGGGGCUUCCUAUCCUGGGGCCUACCCCGGGCAGGCACCCCCAGGGGCUUAUCCUCGACAGGCACCUCCAGGCGCCUACCCUGGAGCACCUGGAGCUUAUCCCGGAGCACCUGCAUCUGGAGUCUACCCAGGGCCACCCAGCGGCCCUGGGGCCUACCCAUCUUCUGGACAGCCAAGUGCUCCCGGAGCCUACCCUGCCACUGGCCCCUAUGGCGCCCCUGCUGGGCCACUGAUUGUGCCUUAUAACCUGCCUUUGCCUGGGGGAGUGGUGCCUCGCAUGCUGAUAACAAUUCUGGGCUCGGUGAAGCCCAAUGCAAACAGGUAAGGAGAGCAAAAUUAACAAGUCUAUUUGUAGAUUGGCUUUUGAAUAAAGAAUGGCCUACUUUUUUUUU